UACGUAGGGGGCGAGCGUUGUCCGGAAUUAUUGGGCGUAAAGAGCUCGUAGGCGGUCUGUCGCGUCUGCUGUGAAAAUCCAGGGCUCAACCCUGGACCUGCAGUGGGUACGGGCAGACUAGAGUGCGGUAGGGGAGAUCGGAAUUCCUGGUGUAGCGGUGAAAUGCGCAGAUAUCAGGAGGAACACCGGUGGCGAAGGCGGAUCUCUGGGCCGUAACUGACGCUGAGGAGCGAAAGCAUGGGGAGCGAACAGG
rnacentral:rRNA from 1 species